rnacentral:sRNA from 1 species
UAGUAACGGCGAGUGAAGCGGCAACAGCUCAAAUUUGAAAUCUGGCGUCUUCGGCGUCCGAGUUGUAAUUUGCAGAGGGCGCUUUGGCAUUGGCAGCGGUCCAAGUUCCUUGGAACAGGACGUCACAGAGGGUGAGAAUCCCGUACGUGGUCGCUAGCCUUUACCGUGUAAAGCCCCUUCGACGAGUCGAGUUGUUUGGGAAUGCAGCUCUAAAUGGGAGGUAAAUUUCUUCUAAAGCUAAAUACUGGCCAGAGACCGAUAGCGCACAAGUAGAGUGAUCGAAAGAUGAAAAGCACUUUGGAAAGAGAGUUAAAAAGCACGUGAAAUUGUUGAAAGGGAAGCGCUUGCAGCCAGACUUGCCUGUAGUUGCUCAUCCGGGUUUCUACCCGGUGCACUCUUCUACGGGCAGGCCAGCAUCAGUUUGGGCGGUUGGAUAAAGGUCUCUGUCAUGUACCUCUCUUCGGGGAGAACUUAUAGGGGAGACGACAUGCAACCAGCCUGGACUGAGGUCCGCGCAUCUGCUAGGAUGCUGGCGUAAUGGCUGUAAGCGGCCCGUCUUGAAACACGGACCAAGGAGUCUAACAUCUAUGCGAGUGUUUGGGUGUCAAGCCCGAGCGCGUAAUGAAAGUGAACGGAGGUGGGAACCCUUCGGGGUGCACCAUCGACCGAUCCUGAUGUCUUCGGAUGGAUUUGAGUAAGAGCAUAGCUGUUGGGACCCGAAAGAUGGUGAACUAUGCUUGAAUAGGGUGAAGCCAGAGGAAACUCUGGUGGAGGCUCGCAGCGGUUCUGACGUGCAAAUCGAUCGUCAAAUUUGGGC